GAUGAACGCUGGCGGCGUGCUUAACACAUGCAAGUCGAACGGAAAGGCCCAAGCUUGCUUGCGUACUCGAGUGGCGAACGGGUGAGUAACACGUGGGGGAUCUGCCCCUCACUUCGGGAUAAGCCUGGGAAACUGGGUCUAAUACCGGAUAGGAUGAUUGUUUGGAUGCGGUUGUGGAAAGUCUUUUCGGUUUGGGGUGGGCUCGCGGCCUAUCAGCUUUUUGGUGGGGUAAUGGCAUACCAAGGGGUUGACGGGGAGCCGGCCCGGGGGGGUGUAGGGCCACAUUUGGGACGGGAGACGGCCCGGACUCCUAAGGGGGGCAGAAGGGGGGAAAACUGGACAAAGGGGGGAAGCCUGAUGCAGGGACGCCGGCGGGGGGGAGACGGCCUUUGGGUUGGAAAAUCGUUUCGCUAAGGACCGAGGGUUUUUGUGACGGUACCUGGAGAAGAAGCACCGGCUAACUACGUG
rnacentral:rRNA from 1 species